AAGAGGUUUGGUAUCCGUAGCGUCACGGACGAACGCUGGCGGCGUGCUUAACACAUGCAAGUCGAACGAUGAAGCCUAGCUUGCUAGGUGGAUUAGUGGCGAACGGGUGAGUAAUACGUGAGUAACCUACCUUUAACUCUGGGAUAAGCCUGGGAAACUGGGUCUAAUACCGGAUACGACCAAUCUCCGCAUGGGGUGUUGGUGGAAAGCGUUAUGUAGUGGUUAUAGAUGGGCUCACGGCCUAUCAGCUUGUUGGUGAGGUAACGGCUCACCAAGGCGACGACGGGUAGCCGGCCUGAGAGGGUGACCGGCCACACUGGGACUGAGACACAGCCCAGACUCCUACGGGAGGCAGCAGUGGGGAAUAUUGCACAAUGGGCGCAAGCCUGAUGCAGCGACGCCGCGUGAGGGAUGACGGCCUUCGGGUUGUAAACCUCUGUUAGCAGGGAAGAAGAGAGAUUGACGGUACCUGCAGAGAAAGCGCCGGCUAACUACGUG
rnacentral:rRNA from 1 species